GACAGAGGUCCCAAGCGUUAGGCGGAAUCACUGGGCUUAAAGCGUGUGUAGGCGGAUUUGUAAGUACCUUGUGAAAUCCCACGGCUCAACCGUGGAACUGCUUGGUAUACUGCUUAUCCUGGGCCAUCUAGGGGCGAGCGGAACAAACGGUGGAGCGGUGAAAUGCGUAGAUAUCGUUUGGAACGCCAAUGGUGAAAACAGCUCGCUGGGGAUGUGCCGACGCUGAGAUACGAAAGCCAGGGGAGCGAACGGG
rnacentral:rRNA from 1 species